CGGAUAGCGGUAAAAUUAUCAAAACAUUCAUGAUGAGUGAUAAGACCAUAAUACCAUGUUUGGUAACCAGUGUUACAUUUUGAACCAUAUUGGUAACACAGGGUCUCUUCCGUCACAACAUAAAACAAUAGCAUGACCAAUCCAUUACUUUAUUACCUAUGACAUUUGGCUAUUAUUUGUUCCAAAAUCGAAUCUAAGUGCAACCAGACAUGUCAACCAAG